GUGGGGAAUAUUGCGCAAUGGAGGCAACUCUGACGCAGCCAUGCCGCGUGCAGGAAGAAGGCGCUACGCGUUGUAAACUGCUUUUAACCGGGAAGAAACCCCAGGACGUGUCCUGGGUUGACGGUACCGGAGGAAUAAGCACCGGCUAACUUCGUGCCAGCAGCCGCGGUAAUACGAAGGGUGCAAGCGUUAUCCGGAUUCAUUGGGUUUAAAGGGUGCGUAGGCGGAGCGUUAAGUCAGUGGUGAAAUCCUGCAGCUUAACUGUAGACUUGCCAUUGAUACUGGCGCUCUUGAGUGCGCUUGAAGUGGGCGGAAUGUGCCGUGUAGCGGUGAAAUGCUUAGAUAUGGCACAGAACACCAAUUGCGAAGGCAGCUCACUAAGGCGAUACUGACGCUGAGGCACGAAAGCGUGGGGAUCGAACAGGAUUAGAAACCCGGGUAGUCC
rnacentral:rRNA from 1 species